rnacentral:rRNA from 1 species
AUUGAACGCUGGCGGCAGGCUUAACACAUGCAAGUCGAGCGAGCGGCGGACGGGUGAGUAAUGUCUGGGAAACUGCCUGAUGGAGGGGGAUAACUACUGGAAACGGUAGCUAAUACCGCAUACCAUACGAUGUGCCCAGAUGGGAUUAGCGAGUAGGUGGGGUAAGGGCUCACCUAGGCGACGAUCCCUAGCUGGUCUGCAAGGAUGACCAUCGAAACUGGAACUGAGACACGGUCAAUACUCCUACGGGAGGCAGCAGUGGGGAAUAGGGCACAAUGGGCGCAAGCCUGAUGCAGCCAUGCCGCGUGUGUGAAGAAGGCCUUCGGGUUGUAAAGCACUUUCAGCGAGGAGGCGUUACUCGCAGAAGAAGCACCGGCUAACUCCGUGCCAGCAGCCGCGGUAAUAC